UUCGCCUACGGGGGGCAGCAGUGAGGGAUAUUGGUCAAUGGGGGAAACCCUGAACCAGCAACGCCGCGUGAGGGAAGACGGUUUUCGGAUUGUAAACCUCUGUCCUCUGUGAAGAUAAUGACGGUAGCAGAGGAGGAAGCUCCGGCUAACUACGUGCCAGCAGCCGCGGUAAUACGUAGGGAGCGAGCGUUGUCCGGAUUUACUGGGUGUAAAGGGAGCGUAGACGGCAUUGCAAGUCUGAUGUGAAAGAUUGGGGCUCAACCCCAGGCCUG
rnacentral:rRNA from 1 species